rnacentral:rRNA from 1 species
CCCGCUGAACUUAAGCAUAUCAGUAAGCGGAGGAAAAGAAACUAACAAGGAUUCCCUUAGUAACGGCGAGUGAACCGGGAACAGUCCAGCGCUAAAUCGGUACGUCUCGGCGUACCGACGUGUAGCGUAUAGGCGAGUCGCUUGGUCUCAGUCUCAGGGCACAAGUUUCCCAUGACCGGAGCGCCGAAGAAGGUGAUAGACCUGUAGCGCUCGAGACUUUGGCCAAUUGUUUCGUCUUAGAGUCGGGUUGUUUGGGAUCGCAGCCCAAAGCAGGUGGUAAACUUCACCUAAGACUAAAUACCCCCACGAGACCGAUAGCAAACAAGUACCGUGAGGGAAAGUUGCAAAGCACUUUGAAGAGAGAGUUAAAGAGGACGUGAAACCGGUAGGAUGGAAGCGGAUAGAGCCAGCGAAGCUGCUCGCAUUCAGCCGAAAGCCAUGGGCCUCGGGCGGUUUGGAUGCUAACCACGCCCGACUGUCUGUUUGUUCGUGGUUAAGGUGCAUUUGUGGGUAAUUGCGCUGAGACUUGUGGGGCAGUGGCUGGACGCGUGCAUAGAGGCUUCCCUUUGGGUUGAACCUUUGUACGUCGCCGGCUAUUUGCUCUGCUCGUAACCGGGCUUGGCCUACGGGCCUGUACGUCUCUGUUGCUGCCGUUAGGUGAAGUCGCAUGCGACUUCUAGUUCGGCCGUCGUACUUGCGUAUAGCGCUCUCAAGUCUGCUCUCGGUGUAGAUGCUGGUCAUCUAUCCGACUCGUCUUGAAACACG